UCAACAUCUUUUACUGAGUUUUAAUUAGACUGAGACCUGAGUGGGCACACAGGCUGUGAAAUAUUCAGAUCCACAUCGUUUUAUUACUCGAAUCAUUUAAUGACCUCUCAAACCAAAUGAAGAACUGUCCUCCUGAUGRGACCACCACCACCAGGAGAGAAASCUUUGAUCGCACAGAAAAAAGCCGUCGCCCUGAAUCUUUUAUUAGGCCGACCCAAACCAAGAGUUCACCUGAGAGGUGAAGCUUCAAGGUCUUUCCUUCAGCCUCUCAUCCGUAACAGCAGGUAAAAUCCUAAAAGCUGCAGAGAUUCUGUCCCAAACUCCACUGAAAAACCAGGAGCAGAUGGCAUCAUGAAGACCAGCCAGUUGUGUGUGUUGUGGGGGGUGUAAUGUCCUUUAUGACCCUCAGGGGCCCCUGUAGGCAGCGGUACAGUUCUGACGAGCGUGUGGUGAUGUGUUGCACCGCAUGCAGCCUCGCCCAUGGCCCUGCAGUCUGCUGGACCACCGUGUGAAGGAACCUGAGGGUCCUAGUGGGACCCCUGAUUAAAGUCACUGCAGACCUGGGGCCUGAGGCCAAAAGGUCCUGAGACCAGUUUGAACCCACAGAUGGAGCA